AAGGCCCUAGCUUAGUUAAAGCGCUUGAGUUGCAUUUAGGAGAUGCAGGCUAGAAUCCUGCGGGUCUUA
rnacentral:tRNA from 1 species